rnacentral:rRNA from 1 species
GACGUAGGGCGCGAGCGUUGUCCGGAUUUAUUGGGCGUAAAGAGCUCGUAGGCGGCUUGUCGCGUCGACUGUGAAAUCCCGCGGCUCAACUGCGGGUCUGCAGUCGAUACGGGCAGGCUAGAGUUCGGUAGGGGGAGACUGGAAUUCCUGGUGUAGCGGUGAAAUGCGCAGAUAUCAGGAGGAACACCGAUGGCGAAGGCAGGUCUCUGGGCCGAUACUGACGCUGAGGAGCGAAAGCGUGGGGAGCGAACAGG